UGUUAAGUGACUGUGUAUGUUAUGUGGCAACAAAUGUGGUCGUAGCAAUGAAGUGGCAGCAUAUGUGGUGUUUUAAAUUUGGGAAAAUUAAAUAUAUUAGUUUUCUUUUAAUUAGGGCAAAUAAAAUUAAGUUAGUUUUUUUUAAUUAGGGCAAAUAAAUUAACCUCGAACCAAUUUCGUUUUCUUCAUCUCGUUUUUCUCGGCCCCUGCAACUUCUAUGGCAAACUUGUUUCCUUUUC
rnacentral:lncRNA from 1 species